GGGCGAUUAGCUCAGUUGGCUAGAGCACCGCCUCGACAAGGCGGGGGUCACUGGUUCGAGUCCAGUAUCGCCCA
rnacentral:tRNA from 1 species